rnacentral:misc_RNA from 1 species
CAAGCGCACCGAAGCGGAAGCCGAGAAGGCCAAGAAGGACGCCGAGGACCGCAGCAAGCAGCAGACCGAGCAGCAGCGCCUGAGCGAGCAGCGCGCCAAGGAAGCCGACGCCGCCAAGCAGAUUGCCGCGCAGCAGGAUGCCGCGCGCCGCGACAACGAGCGCCAGGAAGCCGAGCGCCAGGCCGCCGCCCGCCGCGAGGCCGAGCAGAAGCAG